CAGAAUGAAAAACAUCCAGAUUCUGUUAAUACAGAGUUAUACAGAGGAGAGAUAAUUCUUGCUGUAUCAUUUACUAAACGUCCAGAUGCCUCAAUCUCCCAAUGUAUGAUCAUACGUCGGGCCCGUGCCGAUAUGCGAGCUCGGUGUUUCGAAAUUAUGUCGCUGCCAGUCAAAAUCAUGUAGAGGAUCCUGCUCCCACCAGCAAAAAUCCGGUUUCUCGAAGUCGCAUCUUAUGUUCCUAUUAAAGCGUAACCAGUUUCGCAGAAAUACAUAAGUAUCGCACCAUCAUGUUUUUUCGCCACUAAAGCGUGUUCGGGUGUAGGGAGAGGGGCACAUUCUGCAUCUAUGGAUAUGUAGAAAUAUAAUUACUACCAAUGUAAAGAUAACUAUUAUAAAAAAUUAAUUUCAUACAUUAAUAAUUGAUCUAUAUAAACAAAACAAA